rnacentral:rRNA from 1 species
AUUGAACGCUGGCGGCAUGCUUUACACAUGCAAGUCGAACGGUAACAGGCCGCAAGGUGCUGACGAGUGGCGAACGGGUGAGUAAUGCAUCGGAACGUGCCCAGUCGUGGGGGAUAACGCAGCGAAAGCUGUGCUAAUACCGCAUACGAUCUAUGGAUGAAAGCGGGGGACCGUAAGGCCUCGCGCGAUUGGAGCGGCCGAUGUCAGAUUAGGUAGUUGGUGGGGUAAAGGCCUACCAAGCCGACGAUCUGUAGCUGGUCUGAGAGGACGACCAGCCACACUGGGACUGAGACACGGCCCAGACUCCUACGGGAGGCAGCAGUGGGGAAUUUUGGACAAUGGGCGCAAGCCUGAUCCAGCAAUGCCGCGUGCAGGAAGAAGGCCUUCGGGUUGUAAACUGCUUUUGUACGGAACGAAACGGUCCGGGUUAAUACCCUGGGCUAAUGACGGUACCGUAAGAAUAAGCACCGGCUAACUACGUGCCAGCAGCCGCAGUAAGAC